CUGGGCCGGUAGAGGCUCCUCUGCAGAGUUGGCUCCUCCUCCUCCUUGCCAGCAGCAGGUCAGCAGGCAUGCCGCACAGCGACGAGCUGAAAGGCAGCCCAAGGCUUCCCCGGCUCCUACUGGGGGCCAUCCUCCUUGGUCGCCCUAGCAACCAGAGCUUCCUCAAGACGAUGCAGGGAAAAACAGCCACAGAGGAUGGCAUUGCGGAUCAAAGUGUGUAGCCAGCAUGACGUGGAGACCGACAACACCCCCGGGCAGCUGAGCACCAAGAUCUCUCCUCCAAAGCAAUGUGCCUGGAAAGUUGGUGGAAACAAAGACGUCCUAUUGUUGUUUUUCUUGCGCAGGAUAACAGUUGUGACCUUCUUGUCCAGCUGCUUUCACUUCUUUGUGAUAACAACAGCUGCAGGAAACAUCUGGAGUCACCGUUUGUUCAGUGAUAGUGUUGCCCUGUGACAGUUACAACAGAAAUAAGAUUGUGAGUGAACAGCUUUACAGUGGCAGCAGAAUACGUUGAGGAGGACUGCCAUUCAGGAUCUACCAAAAAUGUUAAGUUGAAACCAAAUCUUGCCUUGGCUCAACAGCAGUACACAGUAUAACCACUUCACAGGGCCGUAUGGUGGCCAAAGACACAACUCCAGAAGAAUACUAAUGUUGCUUCAUGUAUGCUGGAUAUGAAAAUCGGCAGCUGUUUGCUGAGAUAUUCAUCAUAACAACUUUAUAAUAUGACGAUAUGUCAGUUUUCAUGUAGUUCCACUGCCCCCAAGUGGCAAGGAAAAGGAUUACUGCACCUUUAAGCUUGUACAGGAUCCAUAUAGGUCUUUUUAAUGCUCCAGAUCUUUAUUCCUUAAUAAACUGAUGCAUCGUCAACACA